rnacentral:snRNA from 1 species
CGCUUUGCACAGUGGCUGUAUCCUAGCCAAUGAGGCUUAACCAAGGUGGGAUUCUUGCUAAUUAAAAUGCAUAUACUACAGCAGGGAUCAGGCUUGUUUACCUGACUCUUAGGUUAUAUUUAGCUUUAGAUUAGUGAUCUUACUUUA